rnacentral:rRNA from 1 species
UGCAGUAGGACGCACAGUCUAUACCGUAGCUUGCUACACCAUAGGCUGUGAGUUGCGAACGGGUGAGUAACGCGUAGGUAACCUGCCUAUUAGAGGGGGAUAACUAUUGGAAACGAUAGCUAAUACCGCAUAACAGUAUGUAACACAUGUUAGAUGCUUGAAAGAUGCAAUUGCAUCGCUAGUAGAUGGACCUGCGUUGUAUUAGCUAGUAGGUAGGGUAAUGGCCUACCUAGGCGACGAUACAUAGCCGACCUGAGAGGGUGAUCGGCCACACUGGGACUGAGACACGGCCCAGACUCCUACGGGAGGCAGCAGUAGGGAAUCUUCGGCAAUGGGGGGAACCCUGACCGAGCAACGCCGCGUGAGUGAAGAAGGUUUUCGGAUCGUAAAGCUCUGUUGUUAAGGAAGAACGAGUGUGAGAAUGGAAAGUUCAUACUGUGACGGUACUUAACCAGAAAGGGACGGCUAACUACGUGCCAGCAGCCGCGGUAAUACGUAGGUCCCGAGCGUUGUCCGGAUUUAUUGGGCGUAAAGCGAGCGCAGGCGGUUAGAAAAGUCUGAAGUGAAAGGCAGUGGCUCAACCAUUGUAGGCUUUGGAAACUGUUUAACUUGAGUGCAGAAGGGGAGAGUGGAAUUCCAUGUGUAGCGGUGAAAUGCGUAGAUAUAUGGAGGAACACCGGUGGCGAAAGCGGCUCUCUGGUCUGUAACUG